CACACAUUACUCUCUCUCCCCUCUCUCUCUCUCUCUCUCUCGACGGCACAGAGAUCUCGAUCAGUGAUGCCCUUGCCCCAAACAAGUCUUCACUUCUAAUCAAUCACCGGUUCUGUCUUCAAUUUCUGGUAAAUGCUUUUCUGUUUCUUAAUCUCAUCGAUUUUCGACUUUUGAAGAUUACCGAAGCAAGUUUAUCUUGAAAACAUCAUGGCUAUUGAUGCUGUUGUGUCGGAAUCAGCCCAUGUGUCUGUUGAGAAUGUGAAGAAAGAGAGCAGUGCGAAUGGGCAUGUUGGUGAAAAUGAAUCCGGUCCUCACGUGAGUGAAUUAUAGUCUAUGUUAAAAAACACAGUGCCAUACUAAAGAUAUGAUGCCAAUUAUAACAACACUAACUGAUAUUCUUUGCCAUUAAGUGCAACAUCUAGUGAACCUUCUACAUAAUAAUAACAAUCUUCUCUUGGUUUUAAAAAGCGCGAGGCUCAACAAGGCUAACACCCUAGGGCUUUUUCGCUCAGCGCCUAGAGUAAUUACAAGAAGCCCUAAAAAGGCGCGUUUUUUUGGGAUUUUUCUGGGCUUUUUUGGACCGAGGCGUUUUUAUGCAUCUAACUGUUGUACCUUGGGUUUUUUUGGCUUGUACAUGCAGCUAAAAUCAUACAAAAACCUUAUAGCUAUAUUUUGGGUAGAAAGCUAAAAACCUAUGGAUAUAUAGAAAAUAUAUAUAAUUAGCUUGCGCCUUAGGUACGAAAAGCCCACCGCUUUUGCGCUUCGUGCCUCGGUUUUAGACCUCGUCGCUUUUGUGCGCAUCUCGCUUUUUAAAACCAAGAAUCUUCUACAUAAUAUAACUUUCUAAGCAUCACAGUGACCAUUUAUCUUAACCUGGGUUUUAAAAAGCGCACCUGAGGCGCGUCUAGGCACAGGCCUCAGCACCUUAUGCUUGGUUUAAAAAAGCGCGCUUGAAGCGCGCUUGAGGCGAUGAAGCGAUGAAGCGAUUGGAAAAACGCUUUUUUGGCUCUGAAGCGAUGCAUUACAUGAAGCGACCUGAAGCGAGCUUUAAGCGGUGAAGCGUUGAAGCUGUGAAGCUACGCUCCAGCCAAUCAGGUCACCAUUUGGGCCAUUUUUUAAGCCCAGCAGUCUUUACAAAGUACAUAUCGACCUUAUAUCAACGAUAUAGCGACUUCCUAUGUGAAAUCCGGCGACAAAUUCCGGCGACGGAGUUGCUUUCAGCCGGAAACCAGGAAGAAGGGGGAAGAAGAAGAGAGAUGCUGACGGUGACGGCUGCGUAUAUGUAUUUUAGGUUUUUAGGGUUUUUAUAAGUUAAGGUUUUUAAACAUUUAACCCCUCUUAUCUUUCAUUAGUUUACAUUCAGUCCCUAAAACUUCUAACUUUUUACUUAAAAAGUGUAAAGAUAGUUUGUCUAUUUAAACAUUUAACCCCCUCUAUCUUCAGUAGUUUACAUUUG
rnacentral:lncRNA from 1 species